rnacentral:rRNA from 1 species
AGUGAACGCUGGCGGUAGGCCUAACACAUGCAAGUCGAACGGCAGCACAGUAAGAGCUCGCUCUUACGGGUGGCGAGUGGCGGACGGGUGAGGAAUACAUCGGAAUCUACUUUUUCGUGGGGGAUAACGUAGGGAAACUUACGCUAAUACCGCAUACGACCUACGGGUGAAAGCAGGGGAUCUUCGGACCUUGCGCGAUUGAAUGAGCCGAUGUCGGAUUAGCUAGUUGGCGGGGUAAAGGCCCACCAAGGCGACGAUCCGUAGCUGGUCUGAGAGGAUGAUCAGCCACACUGGAACUGAGACACUGUCCAGACUCCUACGGGAGGCAGCAGUGGGGAAUAUUGGACGAUGGGCGCAAGCCUGAUCCAGCCAUACCGCGUGGGUGAAGAAGGCCUUCGGGUUGUAAAGCCCUUUUGUUGGGAAAGAAAAGCAGCAGGUUAAUACCCCGCUGUUCUGACGGUACCCAAAGAAUAAGCACCGGCUAACUUCGUG